rnacentral:rRNA from 1 species
GACGAACGCUGGCGGCGUGCUUAACACAUGCAAGUCGAACGGAAAGGCCCCCUUGUGGGGUACUCGAGUGGCGAACGGGUGAGUAACACGUGAGUAACCUACCCUUGACUUUGGGAUAACUUCAGGAAACUGGGGCUAAUACCGGAUAGGAGCUCCUGCUGCAUGGUGGGGGUUGGAAAGUUUCGGCGGUUGGGGAUGGACUCGCGGCUUAUCAGCAUGUUGGUGGGGUAGUGGCUCACCAAGGCUUUGACGGGUAGCCGGCCUGAGAGGGUGACCGGCCACAUUGGGACUGAGAUACGGCCCAGACUCCUACGGGAGGCAGCAGUGGGGAAUAUUGCACAAUGGGCGGAAGCCUGAUGCAGCAACGCCGCGUGCGGGAUGACGGCCUUCGGGUUGUAAACCGCUUUCGCCUGUGACGAAGCGUGAGUGACGGUAAUGGGUAAAGAAGCACCGGCUAACUACGUG